rnacentral:rRNA from 1 species
UUGAUCGCAAGUGAGAGUUGGGUGGGCAAACUCAGGGGACAGCUUCAACUAUUCUUCUUCAAACUAGAGGAAGGUUGCGGCAAUAACAGGUCUGUGAUGCCCUCAGAUGUUCUAGGCUGCACACGUGCUACAUUGAUCAGCACGAUGCGAUACAUUUCGAAAGGAAACAUCGGUUUUAAGGUAACGUCGAUUGCCUACCGAUAGCACCUGGUCCCCAGUGGACUGGGCAAUCUCUUCUAAAUGCUGGUAAGGUACCCACACUCGAGCUAUUUAAUCACACGCGGGAGGCACACACGGUUCAAAUCUCAUUUGCGACUGUUGCCGCCAUGACGUAUGCAACUUGUCAAUUCUUCGUGGGGAUCGUCGAUUGCAACUAUUCGACUCGCCACAACUAGGAAUGCCUCGUACGGGUCUCGGUUCACCAUACCGCCCGG